rnacentral:misc_RNA from 1 species
GAUGAAGAACGCAGCGAAAUGCGAUAAGUAAUGCGAAUUGCAGAAUUCCAGUGAGUCAUCGAAUCUUUGAACGCACAUUGCGCCCGCCAGUAUUCUGGCGGGCAUGCCUGUUCGAGCGUCAUUUCAACCAUCAAGCCCCAGGCUUGUGUUGGGGACCUGCGGCUGCCGCAGGCCCUGAAAACCAGUGGCGGGCUCGCUGUCACACCGGGCGUAGUAGAUUUUAUCUCGCUCUGGGCGUGCUGCGGGUUCCGGCCGUUAAAAAACCCUUUUAACCCAAGGUAGACCUCGGAUCAGGUAGGAAUACCCGCUGAACUUAAGCAUAUCAAUAAGCGGAGGA